rnacentral:tRNA from 1 species
GGGGACGUAGUGCAGAUUGGUCUAACACGCCUGCCUGUCACGCAGGAGAACGCGGGUUCAAAUCCCGUCGUCCCCGCCA